GAUGAACGCUGGCGGCGUGCUUAACACAUGCAAGUCGAACGAAGAUGCCGGAGUGCUUGCACUUUGGCAGACUGAGUGGCGGACGGGUGAGUAACGCGUGGGUAACCUGCCUUAUACAGGGGGAUAACAGUUGGAAACGACUGCUAAUACCGCAUAAGCGCACGGUAUCGCAUGAUACAGUGUGAAAAACUCCGGUGGUAUGAGAUGGACUCGCGUCCAAUUAGCUAGUUGGUGAGGUAACGGCCCACCAAGGCGACGAUUGGUAGCCGGACUGAGAGGUUGAACGGCCACAUUGGGACUGAGACACGGCCCAGACUCCUACGGGAGGCAGCAGUGGGGGAUAUUGCACAAUGGGGGAAACCCUGAUGCAGCGACGCCGCGUGGAGGAAGAAGGUUUUCGGAUUGUAAACUCCUGUCGUUAGGGACGAUAAUGACGGUACCUAACAAGAAAGCACCGGCUAACUACGUG
rnacentral:rRNA from 1 species